UUCCAUCUGGAAGAAUCUGGAGACAGGUGCUGCAUGGCUGUCGUCAGCUCGUGUCGUGAGAUGUUGGGUUAAGUCCCGCAACGAGCGCAACCCUUGCCUUUAGUUGCCAGCAGUUCGGCUGGGCACUCUAAAGGGACUGCCGGUGUUAAACCGGAGGAAGGUGGGGAUGACGUCAAGUCCUCAUGGCCUUUAUGACCAGGGCUACACACGUACUACAAUGGCCGAUACAAAGGGCAGCGACACUGCGAGGUGAAGCCAAUCCCGUAAAAUCGGUCUCAGUCCGGAUUGGAGUCUGCAACUCGACUCCAUGAAGUUGGAAUCGCUAGUAAUCGUGGAUCAGCAUGCCACGGUGAAUACGUUCCCGGGCCUU
rnacentral:rRNA from 1 species